rnacentral:misc_RNA from 1 species
GAAAUGCGAUAAGUAGUGUGAAUUGCAGAAUUCAGUGAAUCAUCGAAUCUUUGAACGCACAUUGCGCCCCUUGGUAUUCCAUGGGGCAUGCCUGUUCGAGCGUCAUUUGUACCCUCAAGCUCUGCUUGGUGUUGGGUGUUUGUCCCCGUCUCCGCGCGUGGACUCGCCUCAAAGUGAUUGGCAGCCGGCGUACUGGUCCCGGAGCGCAGCACAUGUCGCGCAAACGAGUGCCUUGGUACGGCGGCGUCCAUAAGCCCCUCUCUCACGCUCUUGACCUCGGAUCAGGUAGGGAUACCCGCUGAACUUAAGC